GAUGAAGAACGUAGCGAAAUGCGAUAAGUAAUGUGAAUUGCAGAAUUCAGUGAAUCAUCGAAUCUUUGAACGCACAUUGCGACCGCCAGUAUUCUGGCGGGCAUGCCUGUUCGAGCGUCAUUACAACCCUCAGGCCCCCGGGCCUGGCGUUGGGGAUCGGCGGAGCCCCCCGUGGGCACACGCCGUCCCCCAAAUGCAGUGGCGGUCCCGCCGCAGCUUCCAUCGCGUAGUAGCUAACACCUCGCGACUGGAGAGCGGCGCGGCCACGCCGUAAAACACCCAACUCUUCUGAAGUUGACCUCGAAUCAGGUAGGAAUACCCGCUGAACUUAAGCAUAUCAAUAAGCGGAGGA
rnacentral:misc_RNA from 1 species